rnacentral:ncRNA from 1 species
AGAUACAACUUAGUCUUUCCCCUCACCAAACAGCAAUGCCCAGACACGAGGUCUGGGCAAGCGACAACUGAGCCACGAUGGCGAAUUUGGAGCGGUGCGUCCGUUCUCUUUGCCUAUCGGGAAAGGCUUAGUAGUAUCCAAUUGUC